UGCUUCCAUCGGCGGUGAGAGCAAGUAUUUGUACGGCCGUACGCUUCAAUGCAGUUUGAUAGAUAACUGGGAAAAAUUACAAUUCACAUUAUUUAUUGAAAUCGGCCAGGAUCUACCACCCUCCCUGACCAACACACGGCCUAUAAGGUUAAAUGGAAGUGAUGAUACAAGUUAUAUCUUUGGACACUGUGAUCUGGAAGGAAGACCAUCCCACACAACCAGG